rnacentral:lncRNA from 1 species
GAGGGGUAUCGGUUCCACUUGCCCUUUAGGGUAUCUAUUUCUCCUUCCCUAUCUGGUUUGGAAAGACAUAAAAGAACCACUCCCAGUGGAUGACGAUGUACCCUCUGAUGAGAGUGGUGUCGCAUGUCUGUAGGGGUCACCCGUGGAUAAGUAAUGUCGUGGCUGUAGAUAUAUGUUAGGGCCACUAUGGCUAGUAUGGCCAGCUGGAAAUGAGCUUGAACAAAUUACCGCAUCUAUAUCUGAUCUGGUCAUUUCACUUGGGCAAUUGAAAAUCUGUAUCUACCCUCAGAUACGGAAGUUGUAAUGACUUUACGAAGCAUGAGACGAUAAUCUAAGCAUUUCAUGAUUUAUGUUAUUUUUUUUAUUGUCUGGUAUGAUGUAUGUUUGAUUGUCUAUAUUAACGUGUCGUUUUAUUAACAAAUAAAUAGUUUUCCAUAAUGUGAGAUAGGUAAGCGAG